UACGUAGGGUGCAAGCGUUGUCCGGAAUUAUUGGGCGUAAAGAGCUCGUAGGCGGUCUGUCGCGUCUGCUGUGAAAACUCGGGGCUUAACCCCGGGCCUGCAGUGGGUACGGGCAGACUAGAGUGCGGUAGGGGAGACUGGAAUUCCUGGUGUAGCGGUGAAAUGCGCAGAUAUCGGGAGGAACACCAGUGGCGAAGGCGACUAUCUGGGCUGCAACUGACGCUGAGGCGCGAAGGCUAGGGUAGCAAACAGG
rnacentral:rRNA from 1 species